AGUGAACGCUGGCGGUAGGCCUAACACAUGCAAGUCGAACGGCAGCACAGUAAGAGCUUGCUCUUACGGGUGGCGAGUGGCGGACGGGUGAGGAAUACAUCGGAAUCUACUUUUACGUGGGGGAUAACGUAGGGAAACUUACGCUAAUACCGCAUACGACCUACGGGUGAAAGCAGGGGAUCUUCGGACCUUGCGCGAUUGAAUGAGCCGAUGUCGGAUUGGCUAGUUGGCGGGGUAAAGGCCCACCAAGGCGACGAUCCGUAGCUGGUCUGAGAGGAUGCUCAGCCACACUGGAACUGAGACACGGUCCAGACUCCUACGGGAGGCAGCAGUGGGGAAUAUUGGACAAUGGGCGCAAGCCUGCUCCAGCCAUACCGCGUGGGUGAAGAAGGCCUUCGGGUUGUAAAGCCCUCUUGUUGGGAAAGAAAAGCAGCAGGUUAAUACCCCGCUGUUCUGACGGUACCCAAAGAAUAAGCACCGGCUAACUUCGUG
rnacentral:rRNA from 1 species